AGAUUAAGUUAUUAAGGGCGCACGGUGGAUGCCUUGGCACUAGAAGCCGAUGAAGGACGUUACUAACGACGAUAUGCUUUGGGUAGCUGUAAGUAAGCGUUGAUCCAGAGAUUUCCGAAUGGGGGAACCCAGCAUGAGUUAUGUCAUGUUAUCGACAUGUGAAUUCAUAGCAUGUCAGAAGGCAGACCCGGAGAACUGAAACAUCUUAGUACCCGGAGGAAGAGAAAGAAAAAUCGAUUCCCUGAGUAGCGGCGAGCGAAACGGGAAGAGCCCAAACCAACAAGCUUGCUUGUUGGGGUUGUAGGACACUCUAUACGGAGUUACAAAAGAACAUGUUAGACGAAUCAUCUGGAAAGAUGAAUCAAAGAAGGUAAUAAUCCUGUAGUCGAAAACAUAUUCUCUCUUGAGUGGAUCCUGAGUACGACGGAGCACGUGAAAUUCCGUCGGAAUCUGGGAGGACCAUCUCCUAAGGCUAAAUACUCUCUAGUGACCGAUAGUGAACCAGUACCGUGAGGGAAAGGUGAAAAGUACCCCGGAAGGGGAGUGAAAGAGAACUUGAAACCGUGUGCUUACAAGUAGUCAGAGCCCGUUAAUGGGUGAUGGCGUGCCUUUUGUAGAAUGAACCGGCGAGUUACGAUCUGAUGCAAGGUUAAGCAGCAAAUGUGGAGCCGCAGCGAAAGCGAGUCUGAAUAGGGCGUUGAGUAUUUGGUCGUAGACCCGAAACCAGGUGAUCUACCCUUGGUCAGGUUGAAGUUCAGGUAACACUGAAUGGAGGACCGAACCGACUUACGUUGAAAAGUGAGCGGAUGAACUGAGGGUAGCGGAGAAAUUCCAAUCGAACUUGGAGAUAGCUGGUUCUCUCCGAAAUAGCUUUAGGGCUAGCCUCAAGUGAUGAUUAUUGGAGGUAGAGCACUGUUUGGACGAGGGGCCCCUCUCGGGUUACCGAAUUCAGACAAACUCCGAAUGCCAAUUAAUUUAACUUGGGAGUCAGAACAUGGGUGAUAAGGUCCGUGUUCGAAAGGGAAACAGCCCAGACCACCAGCUAAGGUCCCAAAAUAUAUGUUAAGUGGAAAAGGAUGUGGCGUUGCCCAGACAACUAGGAUGUUGGCUUAGAAGCAGCCAUCAUUUAAAGAGUGCGUAAUAGCUCACUAGUCGAGUGACACUGCGCCGAAAAUGUACCGGGGCUAAACAUAUUACCGAAGCUGUGGAUUGUCCUUUGGACAAUGGUAGGAGAGCGUUCUAAGGGCGUCGAAGCAUGAUCGCAAGGACAUGUGGAGCGCUUAGAAGUGAGAAUGCCGGUGUGAGUAGCGAAAGACGGGUGAGAAUCCCGUCCACCGAUUGACUAAGGUUUCCAGAGGAAGGCUCGUCCGCUCUGGGUUAGUCGGGUCCUAAGCUGAGGCCGACAGGCGUAGGCGAUGGAUAACAGGUUGAUAUUCCUGUACCACCUAGUAUCGUUUUAAUCGAUGGGGGGACGCAGUAGGAUAGGCGAAGCGUGCUGUUGGAGUGCACGUCCAAGCAGUAAGGCUGAGUGUUAGGCAAAUCCGGCACUCAUAAGGCUGAGCUGUGAUGGGGAGAGGAAAUUGUUUCCUCGAGUCGUUGAUUUCACACUGCCGAGAAAAGCCUCUAGAUAGAUAACAGGUGCCCGUACCGCAAACCGACACAGGUAGUCAAGAUGAGAAUUCUAAGGUGAGCGAGCGAACUCUCGUUAAGGAACUCGGCAAAAUGACCCCGUAACUUCGGGAGCAGGGGUGCUCUUUAGG
rnacentral:rRNA from 1 species